rnacentral:misc_RNA from 1 species
UGUAUAUUUAUUAGACGCGUUGCGUCAAUUACAUUCAAAUUACAUCGAUUGAGUUUGUAUAAUGGCAGACGGAAACCGAUCUCUCCCCAAACAAAAGGGAAGAAGAUAUGCCUCCGUCUCACGAGUGCACAGGGGUGUGUGGAUGAGGGAGGCGGUGUGCACAUGCCUUUGCAGGCCAGCUACAACCAGACUCCACGUUCAUUCGAUAAUGAUCCUUCCGCAGGUUCACCUACGGAAA